AAUUCCACCUGCAAUUCAUAGUUCUCUACAAUUCCUCUUUCUCUCUUAACCUAAUUCCACAUUUCCACCCGCAAUUCAUCAGAUCCUCAUCAAAUCAUCCGAUCGUUUUACACUUUCUUCGGUUCACGCUAUCAAAUCUCAUGAUUUCACCCGAUCAAACACAUCGGAUUGCAUGAAUUCGAUGAAGAAUUUGUGAUUGAUUGAUCUCCCCCCAUCACGCCGCUAUGCUCUUCUCACAUUUGGCAUUGGCGAUGUGAUUAAAAAGUGUCGCUUUACAUCGGUCGUGAGGCUAUAAAGCUAUGGAAAGGAAUUAAUGCAAAAACCACAACUGAAAUCGAUCUUCUUGCGGACAACUGGAAGUAUAUUUUCAUGGGUUGAAUUUAUCAGGUCUACUCAACUCAACUUCCAUAUCGAAAUUACCUUAUAUUGAUAGAAAUAAUUUUCACCGUUUAGUUAUCGUAAAUUUUUAAUGUUAUUUUGACACUAAUGUUAAAAAUACAAAAAAAUGGUGAACAUGAACUUGAAAGUUGUUUUGACCAAGAGGUACCAGUACUUGUACUUCAACUAAAUCCUACACGAUUCUAAAGUUGGACAUAAAUUAGCAUCUAUGAUUGAUGAACGAACUUAGAAAUUCAUAUUAUUUGUGAGGUAAUAAGUAGCUUCAGGAUUAGAUUUAUUUGGAAUAUACAUUUGCACUAGCUCAGAAGAUCUUAGACCACCAAGGUAAUCUUUAUUUUUAUAAUUUAAUUGUUUGUUUCACCCGUUUGAUCUGGUUUAGAUAAAUACACCCAUAAUUGACACUUUUAUAACCAGAUGAGUUGGAGUUAAACCAAUGUCCUACAUAAACAAACUUGUAUUAGCUAAUUUCAUAAUGUUCCAGUGUGUUAGGGUCAUAAGCAAACAAAAUAUAAAUUGCAAAUGGGCCUCAGAUUUUUACUUUGCUUUGGGCUUCUAAAAUGGUUGAGCUAGACUUGGCUUAUUUGGUUUUUUUUUUUGAACAACAACUUGGCUUAUUUGGUUGAUUCCAAUGUUUCUAUCAAGCCAUCUCAUUUAAGUAGCUCUCCUACCUAACUUACAAAGAAAACAAAUAAGUCAAUCCUUCAAUAGCAAUUAAGCCUUUGCAACCAGAUCACAAGAAGCAUACGGAUGACGACGGCUCUUGUUCAGUAGCAUCCUCCAAGGACAUGAUUUUCAAGCCAGCUUCUGCAUCGGCCUCAGUGUUCUACUUCCUAAGAGGGUAUAUAUCGUGAGAAGCUUUGGAACUUUUUUAUGAAACUGAAAUUCUCACCCAAAAGAACGUUUAGGCUUCUCAUAUAAAGAUUUGGAAUUUGGAAUGUUACUUAUUACACAACGUUUGGUUAACAUUUGGAAUAUCUUUCGGAUCUAAUUUUUUAUUGAAGUUAUAAUAUUAUGAUUCCUACAUUUACAUUUU
rnacentral:lncRNA from 1 species